GCUGAGUACAGAGCUCUAGGGCAUUUAGUUGCUAAAAUUGUUUGGAUGGUCAAGUUGGUGGGUGAGCUUGGCAUUUAUUCCCUCACCCAUAUUCAAGUGUUAUGUGACAAUCGUCUGCUAUCCAUAUUGCUCAUGAUCCUGUGUUUCAUGAGUGCACUAAACAUACCAAGAUUGACUACCAUUUUGUCCAUGAAAAGCUUCAGUCUGGCCUAGGGGUGUUCAAAAUCGAACCGAAACCGAAGCUUAAAAGCUUAUUGGUGUUAGGUUAAUGGUUUAAGGGAGGAGGAACAUAUUGAAUUCUUUUAUUAACGGUUAUCGAUCUAGGAGAGGAUUAUUC
rnacentral:lncRNA from 1 species